rnacentral:rRNA from 1 species
GGUAAACGGCGGCCGUAACUAUAACGGUCCUAAGGUAGCGAAAUUCCUUGUCGGGUAAGUUCCGACCUGCACGAAUGGCGUAACGAUGGCCACACUGUCUCCUCCCGAGACUCAGCGAAGUUGAAGUGUUUGUGAUGAUGCAAUCUACCCGCGGCUAGACGGAAAGACCCCAUGAACCUUUACUGUAGCUUUGUAUUGGACUUUGAACAGAUCUGUGUAGGAUAGGUGGGAGGCUUUGAAGCGUGGACGCCAGUUCGCGUGGAGCCAACCUUGAAAUACCACCCUGGCAACUUUGAGGUUCUAACUCAGGUCCGUUAUCCGGAUCGAGGACAGUGUAUGGUGGGUAGUUUGACUGGGGCGGUCUCCUCCUAAAGAGUAACGGAGGAGCUCGAAGGUACGCUCAGCGCGGUCGGACAUCGCGCACUGUGUGCAAAGGCAUAAGCGUGCUUGACUGUAAGAUCGAC